AAGAAUUGCAUUAAAACAAAAUACAGACACUGAUUAUUAGAUACAUUGUGAAGCAUAAUGUGGUUUGACAGAUUUCAGCGAAUAAAUGAGCACAGUCAGCCAAAAUGUAAGUGGGUUCACUAGUUAAGGCUAUUUCACACUGCACCGAUAGAUGCUGACCAAUGCCAACAGACAUGUUUGUUUGUGGACAGAUUCUCACCAGAUCAGUCUGAGAAUGAAUGAAGGAGCUUAGGGUAUAUUGUCAUCAGAAGACUAAGCAUUAAAAGAGACCUUCACUAAUACUUUGUACAAUCCAUGAGAAAGAGGAUUAUGGGAUGCUCAAGGGAUAGUUUUCAAACAAACAUAGGUUGCCUACAUUUGUGGCUGCGGAGUCACCAAAAUUGAGGACACAUUCGCUUAACGUAACUAUUGGCAACUCUAUAUUUAAGUUUUAGUGUGUGUGUGCAACUUUGAUUGUAAUGAAAAAAGAAUUGGUGAAGAGGUUAUAAGAAAGAAAAUCUUAUAAUAAAAGUUUUCAAUUAACUACAGGGCUUAGAGGUGCUCACACAGGGGAUGACGAUAACAGACAAAAGACACUACCUACUCUAUGUUCAAAGACACCCAAACAUCUUGCUCCGCUGGACAAUAUAUAUAAGGAUGGCUCUGCAUGUUCAAGUCUUGAGCACCCACUUCUCUUAAAACAAAGUAGCAUCUUGCCCAUCUCAUCACAGUCCAGACGAAGAGUGGAAAGGAUCUUAGAGAAGUCACUCAAUCUGGAACUGGGGACCUAUUUGGAUUUUCAGGAUUUAGGGAGUUCUGUAAUACACAACACUACAAACGAUAAUGUCAUUUCAGACAAGAAAGGCUACACAUCUACCAAAUCAUUGACUGUUAGGAAAGUCGUCAAGAAUGAAAUAAGAUGCAAGUCUUUCAAAACAACAGAAAACUCUGAUUUUCAGAGAAAGUCUCCAAGUAUGAACUGCUGCACUUUCUCUGAAGGACCUGAAAACAUAACCAGACAAAUACCUACAGUCAGGGAAUCCUGUUCUGUUGCAUGUGAGAAACAACUCACUGCUCUAGAUACUGGUGUAUUAGAAAAAUCAUCACAUGAGAAGAAAAAACCAAUUAAGAUGAUCAAGAGAAAUCCCAGUACAGGCAAAACAUCUAUUCAGACAAAUCAGUCAUUCAAUGUUCUGGCACACAGAAAACAAAGUACUGUUAAAACCACCAAUUCACUCAAAGCAGCAACUCAGAGAAAGUAAACCCACCAGCAUAGUUAUUGCAGGAGAGACGACUAACAAAUAUUUGCCAAGAGCACCUAUAAUGGCUUGUAAAAAACUGCAACAAGGUUGGUCUCUGAACCUUUUCAACACAUGAAGUUGAGUGAUGACAAAGUAAGCAAUUACAGUCAAAACCAACUUCACAGAGAUCUGAGAAGUGCAAGAGCAUCCAAAAAGCCAGCAACAGGACCAAUACAGUGAGCAAGGUCUGUCGUGGAUUAUGUCACUUACAAAGACAUGUUUCUGAAGCUCAGUCAGGGAGAUGAAGGUCCAGCAAUCUACGAAAUGUUUGCAACUCCAGUUUAUGAGAAUCUUAGCGCAGACAGUUCUGCAGAGAGAACCAGACAAGUUAAAAGACAGAUCAAUGGAAAAAUAAGGGGCCAAAAAAAGGGGGUUAACCAAAGGAAACAAGCUCAAUCCAAGAGAUCCAGUCGAGCUAAAUGCAGGCAGCUCAAGCGGAGGGAUAAUGUUACCAAAGGGAUAAAGAAACGCCCACCUUCUCCAGAGAAUAAAUGCCAUGUCCUUGUAAUCUCUGCUUGUGGAACUGUCCAGCAGAGCACAUCUGAAAUACACAUCAAGGGAGAUGGUAGAGAAAUUUCAAGUGCAGAAAGACAAUAUACUUCCAUACUAUCAGUGACUGAGGAAGUACUUUCCAACAUUGUAUCCAAAACAAGUCUCAUAAAGGAAAUCAUACUUCAAGAACAAACUCUGAUUAAUGCAAGUCCCAAAAGUGAACCUGAAAUAUCAUAUGCGACCAAAUUGCCAUCACAGCCCCUUAUCAACACCUGGACAAGUGACGGAACGGCGUCACCUUUGUACCAGAGGCUUUUAGAGGAGGUUGGUGAUGGACCUCUCACAGAUGACCUGCUGAGGUCUUUGGCAGAGGAGUUGAUCUCACUCAAGAGAAGAGACGUUGAAACAUUCAAGACUGAAAAGGAAGAUAGCACAGAGUUCAAACAUAACUCGCCUUCAAAAUGGUGUGUCCUCAGGUGAAAUGCAUUACUCUAACGGAUCUUGCUUAGAUGAUGCUAUCACAUGGACAAAAGGAGAGGUUCUGGGUAGAGGAGCUUAUGGAACGGUGUAUUGUGGACUAACCAGUCAAGGUCAGCUGAUUGCAGUAAAACAGGUGGCACUGAAUGCUUCAACUUCAGAGAUUGCAGAAAAAGAAGAAGAAAAGAGAAGUGGAUCUUCUUAAGACCCUUCAUCACACUAACAUUGUUGGUUUCUUGGGCUCAGCUCUCUGUGAGAAUGCUGUAAGCAUCUUCAUGGAGUACAUGUUCCAGCUGGGUCCAUCUCAAACAUCCUGAGCCGGUUCGGACCCUUGCCAGAGAAGGUCUUCAUUCUGUACACAUGACAAAUUCUGGAAGGUGUUGCCUAUCUUCAUGCUAACAGGGUCAUCCAUAGAGAUCUGAAGGGGAACAACAUUAUGCUUAUGCCCAACGGAGCUCAUUGGGGCUCAAAAGGGCUUAAUGCCAUCUCUGUCUGAUGACUUCUCUACAAAUGCACAGGGCUUUGUCAAGGCUUGCCUAACCAGAGAUCCAAAGCAACGACCUUCAGUAGAGGAACUGUUAAGACAUCCAUUCAUCUUUUAUCACAGCCAAGCCUGCAGUAGGCCAAUGAACUGAAAACUUGAUACACCAAAUCAAAAAGUGACUUUUAAAAACCAUGAUACAAAG